rnacentral:tRNA from 1 species
UUGCAUGUAGCUUAGUUGGGAGAGCACUUGGCUGUUAACCAAGGGGUCACAGGUUCGAGUCCUGUCGUGCAAGCCA